rnacentral:rRNA from 1 species
UCGCCUACAUGAAGCUGGAGUUACUAGUAAUCGCAGAUCAGAAUGCUGCGGUGAAUGCGUUCCCGGGUCUUGUACACACCGCCCGUCACACCACGGAAGUUGGGGCGCCCGAAGCCACUUAGCUAACCCAUUUGGGAAGCGAGUGUCGAAGGUGAAAUCAAUAACUGGGGUGAAGUCGUAACAAGGUACC